rnacentral:rRNA from 1 species
GAUGAACGCUGGCGGCGUGCCUAAUACAUGCAAGUCGAGCGAACGGACGAGAAGCUUGCUUCUCUGAUGUUAGCGGCGGACGGGUGAGUAACACGUGGAUAACCUACUUAUAAGACUGGGAUAACUUCGGGAAACCGGAGCUAAUACCGGAUAAUAUUUUGAACCGCAUGGUUCAAAAGUGAAAGACGGUCUUGCUGUCACUUAUAGAUGGAUCCGCGCUGCAUUAGCUAGUUGGUAAGGUAACGGCUUACCAAGGCAACGAUGCAUAGCCGACCUGAGAGGGUGAUCGGCCACACUGGAACUGAGACACGGUCCAGACUCCUACGGGAGGCAGCAGUAGGGAAUCUUCCGCAAUGGGCGAAAGCCUGACGGAGCAACGCCGCGUGAGUGAUGAAGGUCUUCGGAUCGUAAAACUCUGUUAUUGGGGAAGAACAUAUGUGUAAGUAACUGUGCACAUCUUGACGGUACCUAAUCAGAAAGCCACGGCUAACUACGUG